rnacentral:rRNA from 1 species
UGGGGUAGCCUACCAUGCAAGUCGAGCGGAAGAGGGUAGCUUGCUACCUGAUUUAGCGGCGGACGGGUGAGUAAUGUAUAGGGAGCUGCCCGAUAGAGGGGGAUACCAGUUGGAAACGACUGUUAAUACCGCAUAAUGUCUACGGACCAAAGUGUGGGACCUUCGGGCCACAUGCUAUCGGAUGCACCUAUAUGGGAUUAGCUAGUUGGUGGGGUAACGGCUCACCAAGGCGACGAUCCCUAGCUGGUUUGAGAGGAUGAUCAGCCACACUGGAACUGAGACACGGUCCAGACUCCUACGUGAGGCAGCAUUGGGGAAUAUUGGACAAUGGGCGCAAGCCUGAUCCAGCCCUGCCCCGUGUGUGAAAAAUGCCUUCUGGUUGUGAAGCACUUUCCCCGAUUAAGAAAGGGUGUGUUGUUAAAAGCAACAAUCUUUUAGGUUUCUCGCAAAAAACGCACCGGCUUACUCCUGGCCAACCUCCGCGG